UUCAACGCUUACGGCACGGUAGUAUGAAUUGUAUUGUGGAUUCAUCUGAUGAUUAUAAUAGGUAGUAGGUGUACCAUAGAGCAUGAAAGGAUUAAUUAUCAUUGUUGAAUCUUUCUUAUCAUCUUCCUUCUUUUUAUCAUCUUUUUUAGGUUCUUCUUUCUUUUCCUCUUUAGCUGGUCCAACUGAAAGUAUUUCUGCAUGACAUAACUUCCUUAACUUAGCCACUACACGUAUUGGAUCAAUAUCUCCUAUUAAGGUCAUUUUCUUGUCUUUCAUGUCUAUUGAAACUGAUUCAACCCCUGCAACAAUAUUACAAAUACAAUCUUAGCAUAUCAUUAAAAAAUUUAAUGAAGUAUUGAUUCGAUAGAUUUGGAUUGUGUAGUGUGACCGUACACAAUCGUCCAUAUCUAAACUGUCCAAUCAGAUUUUCAAUUUCCAAUACACUUUAUUAAUCUAAAAUAUCGAACUUAUAACUCACUAUCAAUAGAAUUUAUUUUUUUCAUGAAUUAAAAAAGCAGAAUUUUAGUUAAUUCAAUACCUGAAAGGCCAGAGACUGCUUUCAUAGCUUUUUGCUUGAUUUUGUCUUCAUUUAUUUCCAACUUUAACACAACUUUCUGUAACAAAAAUAUCAAGUAGUUGUUAGAACAGAACACUUACUUUCCUUCUAACUCUAAAACUAAGAUUACCAAAGAACUAGUUGAAAAUUCACCAAUCAUACUUUAGCUAUGAUGAAGGAGAUAAAAAGUGGUUUUAAUGAAGGUAAAGUAUUAACUAACCUUCAUAUUGUUAUGGAAGCUACUGAGCUGAGGUAGAAGAACUCUUGAUGCAAAUUGUAAUAGAAGGGAAAGAAAAGUUAAGGAGAUAAUUUUUGAAUUUGAAAUUAAGUUAUGAAAUGAAGAUGAUAAUUUGAUGAUUAUUUAUAGUAUAAGGUAUGGAAGAGUUGAUGAUAGAGGUUGGCUGGGUCAACCGAAACUAGUCAAGACAAGUACUGGUGUAGUGUGUGGUCUUCUUCGAAGCUAGUAGGAGAAAUAAAAGACUUUUUCUAAUCUAUAGUUUGUUUGAUUUCCAAAUUCCAAUAUACCGUUCCUUCGUGGAACAACGGAACCUACAAAAAUCAAAUCAAAAAGUAAUGGUUAAGGUGAUAAAUUUAUUAUUUUAGUUAUGGUGGGUUCUAUCGUGGACCUACGGUUGAUUAGUACUUAAAACUUUAACAUACGUCAUAGAAUUAGAAGUUCACUGUUGUCUUAAUCUUUUACAGCUGAGGCAAUAACUUGAUCCAUGUUAGAUUCAACAAAAGUAUAAAAAAAAAAAAUCAAAGAGUUGUUGUGGCACACAUGUUUGUUUUUUCUUGUUUUUGUUGUCAUCAUUCUUAUCGUCUUAGUUGUGAGAUAAGAAGAAACAUGAACCUUAUCUUAAAAAAGAUGAUGUUUGUAGUUGUUGGUGUUUUUAACUAUUUUCAAAUAAUUGUUAAUGACAAACCAUGUAUUAAAAGUGUUUAAUGUAGAAUGUUGCAUCUACAAGCUCAUCAUUUGCAUCCUUUCUUAGCUUUGACCGAGUUUCCAUUGGAGUAAUUGCUGGAUUGCAGCUAUUCAUUUUGAGUCUCUUCAAAAUGGCAGCAUAUUUUUGAUGCAAUAAUACUCCAUUUCAUGUUUUUAUUUCAAAAAAAAAAUUAAAUUCCAUUCCCGUGAAAAAACAAAGGUUCCCUGAGUCUGACAUUUCAAACGCAUGCAUCAUGCUAGCUUUGGACUUCAUUAGUUCAUCCUCAUUUAAACGUGUGAUCAACAAAUCAUCUACAUAUAAGUACAGAAUAAUCUGAUUUUGCUUAUUUGAACACUUCACAUAAACUCCUUGUUCUGAAUUCUGAUAUGCGUUUGGUGAAUCCCAAUUUAAUAAGAAUCGGAGUUCAAAUCUCGACCACCACCUAAAAAGUUGCCACUAAAAAACAAUUUUUCUAGAGAAUUUCAGUUUCAUUUUUGAAUGAAACAAUUACCAUAAACAAUUAUCUAAUUAUUGGUCCACCAAGGACAAUUACCAGACACUUCUAGCCGGUUCUAGGUCCCUUAAUAAAGUUAAAAUGUCGUUGUAUUAAAUUCGCCGCCGUACUCAAAUAGACUAGAGUAUGAUGCUUACGCUUGAGAUGAUGAAACAUAUUCAACGAUAUAUUAAUCAUUUGAAACAAAAAAAAAUAUUAAUCAUUUGAAACAAAGGACAUUACUCAAUGCUAGCCGAAGAUAAACACUUGUUUAUUUGUUUUUAUUAAUUAAUUAAUAAUUAAAUGUAAAAGUAUAUUUAUAGCUGUAACAUAUUUUGGUGGUGGUUGAGGUUUGAACCAUGAGCUUGUAUAUACUACAUUCGUCCAUAAUUAUAAUGCCCUUUUGAAAAAAUAACGGGAAUUAAGAUAGUGAAUAUUUGUAUUAAAUAUGUUUGUAAUUACUAUUGUUUUUACAAUUUUAUCAUUUAAGAAAGAGAGUUGGCUAAUGUUUUCAACAUUCUAUUUAUUGCUGAUUGAAAAAAAAAUGUAUAAUAAAUAGGGGCAUGUAUGUAAAGAAAUAAUUAAUAUAGUUGAAAAUAGAAUAGGGGUCUUAUAGAAAGGGACAAAAAAUUUUCUCAAAAGGGUCUUAUAAUUAGCGACGGAUGUAGUAUUAUAAACUAUCUCUACCAACUUACCUAAUUUUAUAAGAACUAUCAAUUGUAACAUCUAUUAUGAUUAAAUAUUUAGUAAAUAAAAUUAAAAUAAGCUCUUUCUAUAGUGUUUCAUAUUGUUCUUAUUGUUGCGGAGUAGUUUAUAUUCUAAUUGAGUUUAACUAUUUUUUUUAACUUAAUUAUAUUAUAUAAAGGAUAAAGUAAAUAAAAUAAUUUAAAUGACAAGUAAAAAUGAAAAAGGAAAAAAAAACCACAUCAAAAUCAUGUUUUGAUUUGAAUCUAUUGUCAUAAUGUUUAAUAUGAUUUGAUUAGGAUUUAAGAUUCACCAAAACUUUAUUUUUUAAAUAAAACUGUUGUUGCUUUUCCUCUCACAAUAAUGAGUUCAAAAUAUUCUUGUUAAUUACUACAUUUUAUAGAUAACAGUAGUAAGUAAAGUAUAUUAUUGUUUGUUUUUCCUUCUCGAUCCUUAUGAAUAAUAUUUCACAUUAAUUUUAAUGUAAGUGUAUAACAUUAUGUGAUAGCAGUGGCGGAGCCAAAAAAAUAGUUCGGAUUAGAGCUGUCAAAACGGGCUAGUCCGAAUAGGGCGGCCCGUUAGCCCGAGUAAAACUUAGGGUUUGGGCACAAAAAUUCUAGCCCGAAUUUUUCCAGGGUUUUUUAGCCCGACCCGAAAAAGCCCGCAACCCGUUUGGGCUGGCCCGCUCGGGCUAAGGGCAGCCCGCAAAAAAAAUAUAAGUUGGUUCAGUUUUGGUGUGGAGUGAAUGAAGGAUCAAGUGCAGACCAAGGAAUAAGCUUCCAACCAACUUUAAGUAAUGUCUAUAUUUUUCAUUCUGAGUUGAAACCAUUAUGUGUAUUCGAUCAAGUGUAGAAAUUGAAAGACUUAAUGGAUUUUUUAAACAUCUGCAGUAAUAUUUAGCGAAGAGAUCAGUUUUUCACACCUUAAUUUCUCUCCCUGCAAUUACUUUUAAUACGGGUGUAUUUGUUAUAACAUUAUAAGCUUUCCAAUAUAAUAGAUACUCCCUCCGUCCCUAAUUAUAAGACCCUUUUGAGAAUUUUUUUUGUCCCUUUUUAUAAGACCCCUUUGUUAUUUCCAACUACAUUAAUUAUUUCUUUACAUACAUACCCUUAUUUAUUAUACAUCUUUUUCUUCAAUCAGCAAUAAGUAGCAUAUGGAAAACAUAAACUAACUCUCUCUCUUAAGGAUAAAAUUGUAAAAACAAUAGUGAUUACAAACAACUUUAAUACUAAUAUCCGCUUUCUUAAUUCCCGUGAUUUUAGCAAAAGGGUCUUAUAAUUAGGGACGGAGGAAGUAAUAAAUUGUUUAUAUGUUAUAACAAUUCUUAUAAACUUAAUACAAAUUUGUUUAAAUUGUCUAUAUUUGUUUAACAAAUUAAAGCCAAAGGAUACAUUUAUUAGAAUGAUUAGGUAUUAUUGGUGCUACUACUAAUUUUUCACACUCUGUAGGCUACUAAAACACAACCUGCACAAAGCUUACACUGAUACCUCUGAUCUUCAGUAAUAUCUCUUGUCUUCGUUUAGUUUCUUUACUCACCCGAACAUAUUGUUAUUAUAAUUAUAUAAAUAUUUAAUUUCUAUAUGCUAUUAUUUUGUUCACUAAUUGUGUUUUUUUUGUUAGCUUGUACAAGUUAUGUUGAGAUCAUUAAAGGAUUAUUUUUUUUUAAAAAAAAGGUACAUGCGGGCUGGCCCGUUAGCCCGGGAGCCCGUAUAAGGCCGGACUCGGGCUCUAUGAUUCCAGCCUGUAUUUAAAUAGGGUUUUUUAGUCCGACCCUGAAAAGUCCGCAACCCGCUCGGCCCGACCCGAAAUGGGCCGGAUAGCCCAUUUUGACAGCUCUAGUUCAGAUGGAUCACUAAAAUUAAUUAUAAUAUAUAAACAUAAAUUAAAGUUGUAAUAAAAACAUUAAGUAAGAAGUUGAAAUGACGAAGUUUGACUAAAAGGUUAGGACGGAUACUUAAAUAAUUAUAUAUUUAACAACUACUAUAAAUUAUGAAACUUACAACUGUUAACUAAGAGAAUUUUCAGUUAACAGAAUCCCAACCCUUACAUAUAUAUAUAUAAGAAUGCAUGUCUCUGUAUAUAUAAAAACGCAUGGACCAAGUUUCUUAUUUUAUAUAGGCAAAAUGUUGGUGGUUAUUUUGUUAAGAGAGGUCGAAUUUAUCAGCACUAAGUAUCAAAAUUUGGGCAUCAUUCAUAUUACUUUAGUCCACACUACUUUCAACACUUCCGUGUCCAAAAACUGUUGUUAAUAGUAAAUUCAACCACUCAAUUUUCUCGGGAAUUUCUGUAAAAGAAAUAAUUCUAUAGAAUUUUUGUUAGGGGAGAAAUAAUUCUAGAGAAUUGAAAUGUAAGUUUAGAGUAACAAUUUUUUGAAGGAAAGUUUAGAGUAACAUAUUAGUCAAGAAUGUAUUACGUACAUAAUGAAAAUAGCCUCAUAUUAUAUAAUCAACACGAUAUACAUCAAGCUACUUUUACAGAUAAUAAAACAAAAAACAAAAAAAACAAAACAAUAGGCAACUACCAUGAUUAUUUUUCUGAUUAAUUUUUACCAAAAAUAAUAUAAAAAAUUUAGAUGAUGACACAGCCAUUAGGAUCCUCUUCAACGCUUACGGCACUGUUGUAAUAAGGAUUGUACUGUGGUUUCAUCCGAUGAUUAUAAUAAGCAGGUGCACCAUAGAAAAUGAAAGGAUCAAUUAUCACAUUUUCUUUUUUUGUAUCUUUCUUAUCAUCUUCCUUCUUUUUAUCAUCUUUUUUAGGUUCUUCUUUCUUUUCCUCUUUAGCUGGUCCAACUGAAAGUAUUUCAGCAUAACAAAUCUUCCUUAGCUUAGCCACUACACGUACUGGAUCAAUAUCUCCUAUUAAGGUCAUUUUCUUGUCUUUCAUGUCUAUUGAAACUGACUCAACCCCUGCAACAAUAUUACAAAUACAAUCUCAAUAUAUCACAAAAAUAAGAUCAAUGAACAAUUGAUACUACAAAUUAGAAUUGUGUCCAGUGUGACUGUACACAGUAAAUUACAUCUAAACCGUCUAAUCAGAUUUCAAUGCAGAUUUAACUUCUUUAGGAGUCUUUGGAUUGUGACCGCACACGGCCCAGACAUUGAUGCUAUAUGAUCAAUGAUUUUUUUUUCUUCAUGAAACAAAAAAGCAGAAUUGCAAUCAAUUCAAUA
rnacentral:lncRNA from 1 species